GCCGCCGUCUUCUGCGGAUGGUCAGAGUCAGCCCCUGACACCACCACCACUGAAACCGGACAUUGGAGAACCGCAUCCGCGGCCUUAUUUUGUGGGGCCGGAAUUAAAUUUCAUCAAACCUUACAAGCCGAAGAAAAAACAGGCUCCCCGUCCUGUACCUGUUCCGGUACCAUCUGUCAACGUUGAAAGGACGAAGAUGAGAUUUUCAACGCCUGUCUUCAAGAGUGUCUUCAUGGAGUUGCAUGGGAAUAUGUGAGGGACAGAAGCCGGGAAGUGUCACGGGAAAUGUUC